rnacentral:lncRNA from 1 species
GUGUCCUAAAUCUAUGAGGAGAGAUAACAUGAUGACAUCAUCAUUGCAUCAUCCAGUCAAUAGGCCAAGGAGGCACGAACCCCAAGAGGGUAGCGCGUAAGGCUCGAGGUGCCGCAUGCGCUAUCCAAGUUUACCGCAUAGUAGGCUAGGCCUAGCAUGCGUGUAAGCUACUCUACGUGCUUGGACGACGCGCUAACUCACGCCCAGGGUGGGGU